CAGUAGCCGCGGUAAUACGAAGGGGGCUAGCGUUGUUCGGAAUUACUGGGCGUAAAGCGCGCGUAGGCGGACAUUUAAGUCAGGGGUGAAAUCCCGGGGCUCAACCCCGGAACUGCCUCUGAUACUGGGUGUCUAGAGUUCGGAAGAGGUAAGUGGAAUUGCGAGUGUAGAGGUGAAAUUCGUAGAUAUUCGCAGGAACACCAGUGGCGAAGGCGACUUACUGGUCCGAUACUGACGCUGAGGUGCGAAAGCGUGGGGAGCAAACAGGAUUAGAUACCACCGUAGUCCCUGUCUCUUAUAC
rnacentral:rRNA from 1 species